rnacentral:misc_RNA from 1 species
UUAAGUUCAGCGGGUUUUCUUGCUCGAUUUCAGACCAAGUUAUCAGUCGAAGAUCCAAGGAUCAGCGAAAGUUUUUGGUUUUGAGUGUAUCAGCCAGUACGUGAAAACGAUCCUUCCCAAGAGAUAACGAAUGAGUUAACAUCUGUUGCACUUGUUAAGAACCGAGCCAUAUAGCUGGUGCAAACACAAUCAUUUUCAAG